rnacentral:rRNA from 1 species
AGAGUUUGAUCAUGGCUCAGAGCGAACGCUGGCGGCGUGCUUAACACAUGCAAGUCGAACGGGUGUAGCAAUACAUCCGUGGCGGACGGGUGCGUAACACGUGGAUAACCUUCCUUCAGGUGGGGAAUAACCCAGUGAAAAUUGGGCUAAUACCGCAUAACAAAACGGGGGCACAUGCUCUUGUUUUCAAAGGCGCAAGUCGCCAGAAGAGGGAUCCGCGGCCGAUUAGCUUGUUGGCGGGGUAACGGCCCACCAAGGCAAUGAUCGGUAGCCGGACUGAGAGGUUGGCCGGCCACACUGGAACUGAGACACGGUCCAGACUCCUACGGGAGGCAGCAGUGGGGAAUCUUGCACGAUGGACGAAAGUCUGAUGCAGCAACGCCGCGUGGGGGAUGAAGCUUCUCGGAGUGUAAACCCCUUUCGACCCGGAAGAAAGCCCGCAAGGGUUUGACGGUACGGGUAUAAGAAGCCCCGGCUAACUACGUGCCAGCAGCCGCGGUAAUACGUAGGGGGCCAGCGUUGCUCGGAAUUACUGGGCGUAAAGGGUCCGUAGGCGGUGCGGCAAGUCGAUAGUGAAAUCUCUGAGCUUAACUCAGAGGCUGCUAACGAAACUGCCAUGCUAGAGUGUGAGAGAGGCGAGUGGAAUUACGGGUGUAGCGGUGAAAUGCGUAGAUGUCCGUAGGAACAUCCGAGGCGAAAGCGGCUCGCUGGAUCACAACUGACGCUGAGGGACGAAAGCUAGGGGAGCAAACAGGAUUAGAUACCCUGGUAGUCCUAGCCCUAAACCAUCAGACUUGGGGUUUGCCCUGUACGGGGCAAGUCCCGUAGCUAACGCGUUAAGUCCUGCGCCUGGGGAGUACGGUCGCAAGGCUGAAACUCAAGGAAUUGACGGGGGCCCGCACAAGCGGUGGAACAUGUGGUUCAUUUCGACGCACGCGAGAACCUUACCUGGGCUUGAACCGCACAGGACCAGCUCUAGA